UACAGAGGGUGCAAGCGUUAAUCGGAUUUACUGGGCGUAAAGGGCGCGUAGGUGGUAAAGCAAGUAAGAUGUGAAAGCCCUGGGCUUAACCUGGGAAGUGCAUCUUAAACUGCUUAACUAGAGUAUGGUAGAGGGUAGUGGAAUUUCCGGUGGAGCGGUGAAAUGCGUAGAGAUCGGAAAGAACACCAACGGCGAAAGCACUCUGCUGGGCCGACACUGACACUGAGAGACGAAAGCUAGGGGAGCGAAUGGG
rnacentral:rRNA from 1 species